rnacentral:lncRNA from 1 species
AAUGACCCUGUAAAAAUUUUAUUUGUAAAACUAACCCUUCUUUCGCCACGUGGGUGCCACGUCAGGGUUUCCCUAUAAAGACGGUGAAUCGUUCGCCGUUUUCUCCCAUUUCUUUUAAAGGCGGUGAAUCGUUUCCCGCUUUUAUCCAUUUCUUUUAAAAGCGGUGAAUCGUUCACCGCUUUUUCCUAUUUCUUUUAAAGGCGGUAAAUCGUUCACCGCAUUCAUUAAAAUUGUGCGUGAAUUAUAUAGGAAAUAGAAAAAAGUGAGGUUGUUAGGAUUAUAUGUAGAUCAUUAGAAUUUUUAUUUAGAUUAUUAGGAUUGUAUGGAUAGAUUAUUAGGAUUUUCAGGCUGUUAAAAUUAUAUGAAAUUAUAUGGAUAAAUUAUUAGGAUUUAAAGGUUGUUAAGAUUAUAUAUGAUUUGUUAGAAUUUUUAUGUGGUUGUUGGGAUUAUAUAUGGGAUAUAGAAAGGAACAGUGAAUAAGUGAAAGGCGGUGAAUGAUUCACCGUCUUUAAAAGAAAUAGGAGAAAGCGGUGAACGAUUCACCGCCUUUAAAAGAAAUAGGAGAAAGCGGUGAACGAUUCACCGCCUUUAAAAGAAAUGGGAGAAAGCGGUGAGCGAUUCACCGCCUUUAAAAAAAAUUCUGACGUGGCGCCGACAUGGCGAAAGUAGGGUUAGUUUUCCAAAUAAAAUUUUGAGAGAGUUAUUUCACAAAUUUUAAAAUUUUAGAGAGUUGUUUUAUAAAAAAGUCCCCCUU